rnacentral:rRNA from 1 species
UGGGGAAUAUUGGACAAUGGGCGAAAGCCUGAUCCAGCCAUGCCGCGUGUGUGAAGAAGGUCUUCGGAUUGUAAAGCACUUUAAGUUGGGAGGAAGGGCUGCAAGCUAAUACCUUGUAGUUUUGACGUUACCAACAGAAUAAGCACCGGCUAACUUCGUGCCAGCAGCCGCGGUAAUACGAAGGGUGCAAGCGUUAAUCGGAAUUACUGGGCGUAAAGCGCGCGUAGGUGGUUUGGUAAGAUGGAUGUGAAAUCCCCGGGCUCAACCUGGAAACUGCAUCCAUAACUGCCUGACUAGAGUACGGUAGAGGGUGGUGGGAUUUCCUGUGUAGCGGUGAAAUGCGUAGAUAUAGGAAGGAACACCAGUGGCGAAGGCGACCACCUGGACUGAUACUGACACUGAGGUGCGAAAGCGUGGGGAGCAAACA